CAUGAGCUCUGCUAGGGCAUUCCCAGCGUGUGUGUCUGUAAAUCCUAUCCAUUCAUUCAUUCAUUCAGGGAUGCAGUGUGCGUGUAUGUAUGGCAGAAACGGCAGCAAAGAGCCUUUGAAUUAUGUCACUUGAGCACAGAAGGACGAACAGUGGAGGAGAAGGCGGCAUGCAGAGAUGUUGAUGCUCCGCUGCUCCAAUCUGCAUACCAGGCGAUGACAUGACUCAGGGCUGAACCUGGAGAUGCCGAAGAGACGAGAUCUCAUCGCCAUCAUAUUGAUUGUGUUGCCUUGGACACUGCUCAUCAGUGUUUGGCACCAGAGAAACGUCACUUCUUUGCUUGUUUCCCAAAAGGAUGACACGCAUGUCAGUCGCUCUGAAUCCUACACACUUGGAUCCCGGAGCAUUGUGGAGGUAGUACGCACUGAAUAUGUCUACAGCCGGCCUCCGCCCUGGUCCGGCAUGCUCCCCACUAUUCACUUCAUCACUCCUACUUACAGUCGGCCAGUGCAGAAGGCAGAGCUGACACGCCUGGCCAACACUUUGCUCCAUGUGUCAAACCUGCUCUGGAUCGUGGUGGAGGACUCCAACAGAAAAUCUGAUCUGGUGAGCCGUGUCCUCCAAGACUCGGGUCUCAACUACACCCACCUCAAUGUGGAGACGCCUUUGAAGUACAAAGUACAUGGUGACACUAAGAAACCCAAAGUACCCCGGGGCACCUUACAGAGAAAUCUGGCGCUGCAUUGGCUACGACAGACCUUCAGCAUAAAUAACAGCCCUGCUGGGGUUGUUUACUUUGCAGAUGAUGACAAUACAUACAGUCUGGAACUGUUUGAAGAGAUGCGCUCCACUAAAAAGGUGUCAGUGUGGCCGGUGGCGUUUGUGGGUGGACUGCGAUACGAGACACCCAAAGUGAACGCCUUAGGCAAGGUGUAUGGCUGGAAAACUGUGUUCGACCCUCACCGGCCCUUUGCUAUUGACAUGGCCGGGUUUGCAGUGAACCUGAGACUCAUUCUGUCCAAACCUCAGGCUUUUUUCAAGUUGCAAGGAGUAAAGGGAGGAUAUCAGGAGAGCAGCUUACUAAAGGAACUGGUCACUCUGGAGGACUUAGAGCCUAAAGCUUUUAACUGCACAAAGGUAUUAGUGUGGCACACUCGAACAGAGAAACCUGACCUGGUAAAUGAGGGCAAGAAAGGAUUUACAGACGCCAACGUGGAAAUUUGACAUACUUCAUCACACACAGGGUCACGGGGGUCUGCUGGAGUCUAUCCCAGCUCAUUUCAGGUGAUGCCACCCAGCCCUCACACAGCUUCCUCUGUCUGCUGCCAUCAGGGAGGAGGCUGCGGAGUCUGCGGGUCAGGACCAGCAGACUGAGGGGAAGCUUCAUCCACCCGGCCGUCAGGAAACUGACCUCUGUACCUGCUCUCCCCCCUCACCAUGCUGCUCCCCCAACUCACACUAAGGACUAACUCAUCAAGAAACCUGUCAUACUGUGUGUAUAUAUGUACAAAUUCAUCCACUCCACCAAUUCCUUUCUUCUACUUGUAUAUACAGGACUUUUUUUUAAUAGUUUUUUAUAUUUAUAAUUUUUAUUCUUAUAUACGCAACAUUUGCACAUCUGUUAUAUUUUUUCUUUAGCUGCUGCACCGUAAGGCCUUUGGUCAUUUCAAUCCUUUAUUGUGUAAGUAAAAUUGUGUUUGUGAUUUAAUUAUGACAACAUAUUUAUACCAUUUUCAUCACAUGUUGUAUAUGCACAUGUUUUAUUUGACUUACUGGUAGCUUCACAAACGUGUCACUCGGAUACCCGUAUACAAACAACCUCCCCAUGAAAAAUCCAGGGAAACUGGGACUUUCAGGGAGGGUUUUCCAAGUUGCCUGAUAAAGACUGAAAUGAGGAUACUUUAAAUAUAAUAUUAAUGUGAAAAAUGAACAUAAAAUGCAAAGUCUUAGAUUCAGUUAAGUUUACAAACCUAUCAAUAAAUCUGGGUUUCAUAUCCAGGCUGUAUAUUGUAAAGUUGCGCAAUGGUAUAUUGUUUAAUAUAAUGUCGCCCACUAAUCCUGCAAGAGCACAAAACAAAAAAGGGUUAGUCAUCACUACUCACUGAGUAUGGGGGGGAUUUGGUAGAUCUGCAGCAAUGAAAUGUCAAUGACCUUUAUGUUGUUUGUCAAGAUCUCUUCCACGGUAAACUCGGCCACAGUUUUCCACCAAUAAACUCAAGGUACGCUGUCCCUGAAGGGAGCAAAUAGUUAUAAGUCUAAGAUUUUGCAACCAGUAACACACUGCUUCAGCAUCUAAUAAAAGCAGCUAAUAAAAUGUUUGUGUUCGUCGUUCAUACCUUACCAUCAGGAACAGCAAGCUCCACGCUCCGACGCUUGAACAGGCCAAUGUAACUUCUGUCUACAAACACCUGGUACAACAAAGACCAUUUAGAUUCUGAAACACAUCAGCUCAACUUUCAUCAAAUGAAAUAACAUUUUAGUGAGCGUGGUUAUUCAUAUACCCAGGAGCCCCUGGUACAGAGGGCAAAUGUCAUUUAAGAACAUAAGCCUGUGAUUAGGAUGGGAACAAAUAAAAUAUUUGUCCCUCUGGAGUGGAGAAGACAAUAAAAAAUGAAAAAUGAAAAAGUACAAAAUAAUACUAAAACAAUUCUCUGAGGUUUCUACCCCAGUAAGGCUAAAAGCCAUUGCCAGAGUGACAUUGUAAUAAUGUAAAUCGACUGCAAAUAAUGCAAAUAAAUUUACAUUGUAUCAAGCACCAGUAAUAGUCAAACACUGCUGAUGCUUAGGGCCCCAUGAAGGCUUGUGCCAGCCGUGCAUACAGCUGUCCUAAAUACAGAAAAACAUCUGGCACUGGUGGUAUAACCUUUCAGAUGAGCAUCCUCUGCUCUGUCAGAUCUGGACCGAUUUCUUUAACAUUUUCGCAUUGAAAUCACUUAAAAAGGAAAAAUAAAUGUCCCUGAAUUAAAAGUGUUGAAGUGGCAUGCUCAUGGAGUUCUUCCAGUGAGGUUCAAAUGCUGAUUGAUUGCACAGGGGAGGUUUGAAAGUUAAUUGGUUCCUCAGGUGAGGUUUGAAGGUAAAACUCAUUUGGGCGAUAAUCAUUUUAACUAACUCAAUUUUCAUUCAUUUUGUGUACAGAAAAAAAGAUGUUUUGUAUGUGUAUGUAUUUAUUUUGGUUCAAAAGUGAACUAAAUUGGGGCAUUAAUAUUAUGGAAUGUCUCAC